rnacentral:rRNA from 1 species
GAUGAACGCUGGCGGCGUGCCUAAUACAUGCAAGUCGAGCGAACAGACGAGGAGCUUGCUCCUUUGACGUUAGCGGCGGACGGGUGAGUAACACGUGGAUAACCUACCUAUAAGACUGGGAUAACUUCGGGAAACCGGAGCUAAUACCGGAUAAUAUAUUGAACCGCAUGGUUCAAUAGUGAAAGACGGCUUUGCUGUCACUUAUAGAUGGAUCCGCGCCGUAUUAGCUAGUUGGUAAGGUAACGGCUUACCAAGGCAACGAUGCGUAGCCGACCUGAGAGGGUGAUCGGCCACACUGGAACUGAGACAAGGUCCAGACUCCUAAGGGAGGGAGAAGUAGGGAAUUUUCCGCAAUGGGCGAAAGCCUGAAGGAGCCAAGCCGCGUGAGUGAUGAAGGUCUUCGGAUCGGAAAACUCUGUUAUUAGGGAAGAACAAAUGUGUAAGUAACUAUGCACGUCUUGACGGUACCUAAUAAGAAAGCCACGGCUAACUACGUG